UACGUAGGGUCCAAGCGUUGUCCGGAUUUAUUGGGCGUAAAGAGCUCGUAGGCGGCUCAGUAAGUCGGAUGUGAAAACUCGGGGCUCAACCCCGAGACGCCAUCCGAUACUGCUGUGGCUUGAGUCUGGUAGGGGAACACGGAAUUCCUGGUGUAGCGGUGAAAUGCGCAGAUAUCAGGAGGAACACCGGUGGCGAAGGCGGGUCUCUGGGCCGAAACUGACGCUGAGGAGCGAAAGCGUGGGGAGCGAACAGG
rnacentral:rRNA from 1 species